UGGCUCGUAGCUCAGUUGGUUAGAGCGCUACACUGAUAAUGUAGAGGUCCCCAGUUCAAAUCUGGGCGGGCCAA
rnacentral:tRNA from 1 species